ACAUCCAGAGAACUUGGCAGAGAUGCCUUGGUGCCUUCGGGGCCUCUGAGACAGGUGCUGCAUGGCUGUCGUCAGCUCGUGUUGUGAAAUGUUGGGUUAAGUCCCGNAACGAGCGCAACCCCUAUCCUUUGUUGCCAGCGAUUCGGUCGGGAACUCAAAGGAGACUGCCGGUGAUAAACCGGAGGAAGGUGGGGAUGACGUCAAGUCAUCAUGGCCCUUACGAGUAGGGCUACACACGUGCUACAAUGGCGCAUACAAAGAGAAGCGACCUCGCGAGAGCAAGCGGACCUCAUAAAGUGCGUCGUAGUCCGGAUCGGAGUCUGCAACUCGACUCCGUGAAGUCGGAAUCGCUAGUAAUCGUAGAUCAGAAUGCUACGGUGAAUACGUUCCCGGGCCUUGUACACACCGCCCGUCACACCAUGGGAGUGGGUUGCAAAAGAAGUAGAUAGCUUAACCUUCGGGAGGGCGUUUACCACUUUGUGAUUCAUGACUGGGGUGAAGUCGUAACAAGGUAAGCGUAGCGAG
rnacentral:rRNA from 1 species